UUCAAAGGCUGGGAUUAAAGGAUGAA
rnacentral:piRNA from 1 species